rnacentral:misc_RNA from 1 species
UGUGAAUAUUUCCCCAAUAACAAUAACUGAGAAAGUUUUUGCACUGUUUGUUUCGUGGCAUGGGUGAGCAUAAAUAAUUGAAGAGCCGCACAUUAUGACAUAUAAUAUUUUGAUUUGUAUGAAAUUCCAUUUUUCUGUUGAGUUCAAGAAACAUCACUUAAAGCAGUUUUGAGUUAUUACUCAAGAACUUCAUAAUAGGGUUAUGGCCAUUGAUUUGCAGGUUGCACUGGUCCCAGGGGGCGCCUU